ACAAACUGCAAACAAUAGCCUUUUUCAGAAACCUGCUGCUUCUUCACCACCAAUGGACAAGCAAAUUCCUGCAGGCGUCCAUGGAAAUCUCAAAAAUAAUUACCAUCGAGCUGAUGGCCAGAACUGUGGUAACUUUAUUACGGAUCGGCCGUCCACCAAAGUCCAUGCUGCCCCCUGGCGGUGGAUCUUCUCUUGACUACCUCUUUGGUGGGAAUGGGAAUUAAUUUGUCUACUUUCCUAUGCAUGUAUCAAUUUUCUGGUGUUAACACCUAUUCUUCUAAGAAAAUUAAAUAUCUCUAUCUUGAAGGCUCUGGGCCAAUCCUGUGCAUUUUUUUUUAGUCUGAGUAUAAUCCUUGCGCACAGUUACGAGGUGCAGCCGUCGUUUGGAACAUGAUCAAUUGCGUUGCUGGCGCAUCAUUUCGAUGAUGCAAUUGACGAAAGAAA
rnacentral:misc_RNA from 1 species